rnacentral:tRNA from 1 species
AGUCGUUUAGCUCAGUUGGUAGAGCGCACCCCUGAUAAGGGUGAGGUCACAGGUUCAAGCCCCGUAAUGACUAC